UGAGCACGGUGCGAGCUAGAAAAUCAGUUCGCUCAAGUCCAUCUACCGUUCAACAUCACUUUAUUCUCCUGGCGAGAUAUAUAAAGCUGCUGCGCUUCGAUCGGUAUUUCGAUGGAAGUGUACGGUGACUUUGGUGCUUCGAUUGGCCAACAGGCGUGCGCACGCAUCUAGGAAGCCAUGCAUCAUCGUUGUGCGCAGUGUUCUAGUGCAGUGAGCUACAGUACUGCUGCCGAUGCUGCGUUGAGUGAAGUGCAGUGUGCAACCCAUGUGGCGUGAACAAAAAGCAGAACAUUCAACAGUGCCCAAAAAUGGAUAACAUUCAGAUCAUGUGAAAAAAAAACAAAACGAAUCAUAGUGAAGUUGAUAGCUAAAUUAUGUGUUGAAAAGACAUGAAAAAACACUUCAAACCCCGGAAUCGUUGAAACAUAGACAACAGCUACGCCGAUAAUAAGGAACAGAAAUCCCGAUUUGGAAAUAGCAAAUGAACCAAAACGUGUGUUUGAAUCUACGUACAAAAUGGAGUGAAUAAAGUGACGUUGAACCUACACUUUGCAAUGGAAAACAAGAUAGAAGGAUUUGAACGAACUCACCCGUCAGACAUCAACUAUCUUCAAUACCACGUUUGGAAAAAGCAUUCCGGAACAAACAGCACUCAUCAGUACAAUUCGCAGCAGAUAACGAACCGUCCACAUCAAAAACCCUGACUCGCCAAACGUGUAACGAAAGACAGUCACUAGGCCAAACACCUUGACAGCAGAAUGCAAUGUCUAAUAUCAUUGAUACAGCUCCUCCAAAAAAUACAAAAUGAAACAAUCGUGACCGGUUUGGCCCACUAUUGAGACAGAGAGCAGAGCACAGAAACACAAGCAGAAUAUCCACACAAUAUGCCCACAAAGAAGCACAACGAAACCGUUGAAAUAACCGCCGAAUAAUCAAGCUCGUUCAAAUCACCCGCACCCGGAUGCCCGAAGCCGGCCAAAGAAUGUUCAUUGAGAAUAAGGCACAGAGCGCUUUGUGUGAAGAAGUUGCGUGUAGUAAACGGCUCACCCCUGGCCAGCAGCACAAGAAAAACCCCGGAAAAGCUGUGCAGUGCAAGAAGAAGAAACUACUUACGCCUAAACCCAGCGAAUGAUGCAUUCAUGCGAAUAAAAUAUUGAUACGCCAUCUUGUCCAUCUUCAACAGCGAGUGUCCGAUAGUCCCAACACUCAAGGGAAAACGUCUUUGCACGGCAAGACGGUCACGACGACGACGACGACGACGACCAGUGCACGAGCAGCCGGCACGUGUCACCCAUACGCUGCACGCAAACAGACGCACAGUAAAAUUCAAAACCAAACUCCACACACACAAACUCACCUAUACGCUUAUAAAAAGAAAAACCCGCUACCAUACCUCGAGUUCAGCUUUGGAAAACUGGAAAAUCUUAACAGCCACGUUCUUCACGCCAACUUCUCCGUAAGCGGAGAAACCCGUCCUCUCGACAUUCGGGCGAUCGGCAGAAGAAGCAAAACAGCAAAGUGCUAACGGGGAAAUGCAGUGCCCCUAUUUUCUUCGGCAUCCAUCCGUACGUGGCCCGUUUUUCGGGAGGAGAAAAUUCCAAAAUCAACAGAAAGGGGAAAACCGUCGCUGUUUCGUGCGAGAGGGUUUUUCCCCUUGUUCACAGCAACCCGAUCAGACUGGAGAACCGAAGUGAAACUUCUGGAGCAAUUCUGGAACUGACAGCACAGCAUGGACAGCAGCGUUUGCAGCGUGACAGCGGAUACCGACGGGUGAUACCAACGUGGGAGCAUCGACGACGACGGCCGACCGAGUGAAGGAAAACGGCUUCCAGCGCAACGGAAAACGGCAGCUUGCAAAAGCUUGCAGAGAAGUAUAACACAAUCUUAUGAUUUUUUUUUGUCUUGAGUAUGAUUUUUCGUGUUCGUGAAGAGCGCCUCCGUCCCAGUUCGGAUGGGUUUUUAUUUUUAUUUUUGCGCAGCUCGAUUGGAUUUUUCUUUGGGUUGAAUAUUUUUCUUGAUUUUUUUAUAUUUUUAACUGGAAUUUUUUUAACACAACACACACACACACACACAAAGGUACAGAAAACACGCCUCGAAAUUUAAUAGUCCCUUUUGAAAAUAAUAUUGAGAUAUGCAGAAAAACUAAAGCUAAAUUAUCAUCAAAAGAACAGGACCGAAAAGGAAACAGGAAGUACUAAAUCCAAAACAAGCGCCAUCUUUGUUUAAAAAGCACACGAAACACUACAAUCACUCACAUAAACACACACAAACUCUCCUUCUCACUACACUCAAACGUAUGCAUCGCUCCAAUUUUAUUAUUAUUUUUUUAAUACCACUUUAAUAUACCAAUUAUUACUUUAAGUGCUUUAACACCACCAAUUUAGCAGAAAAAACAACUAUUCAAACGCACAUAGAAGAAAACAGAGAACAAAAAUGGGGGUUAUAAGAAGAAGAAGAAACUGUAAUUGAAAACACACGGAAAAUUCACGCAUUAGCUUAAGUUGGCCAGGGAUUUUUCGUUCCAUCCUUACCACACCACAACACAAGAUAGAAGAAAGAUACUUGUAGUAAUAGCUGAAUUAGUAAUAGCAGCCGGUGCUUAUCGGUUUUUGUUUCCUCUUUCUUUCAAACGCAACAAAAAGCCACCUGAAAAAACACAAUAACAAAUAAUAUUUCUCUUUUCUUUCGCAAAACAAAACUUUAAAUAGGAAACAAAACGUGAAAAUACUCAGGAUUUAGUUUAGUAACCUUGCUUAUCUUAAUUUGCUCACCAACCGCAACAUAACAGCAGAAUCGUUUCAAUUAACCCCCAGAGAAGAAAAUGGAAACCCCACUCACACGUACAAACACACGCACACACACAAUCAUUAAGUGGAUGUGUGUGUGUGCGUGUCCCUCUAUUCUUAUAGCAAUCUUAUUCAUCUUCCCCCUAAAACAUAUACCCAAUCGCCAGAAACAAGAAACAAUAGCAAUAAACAAAAACUGGAAUGUUUUGUUUCGAAAAUACACGUGUUUGUAGCACGCACGCACACACGCAUACAGUUCUGCACGGUUGUUCCUUACAAGCAAACAUACAGACACUAAGAAUAACAACAACAAAAAACGCACCCCAAAUGACUUCACCCCAGCCAGUUUCACACCAAAGCGGAUCUGUGCUACAUUUAAUGGACAAAUCAGAAAUUGAAUCUAGGAAAAAAGUGAUUAAACGAACUUUUUUAUGAAAAAAGGUGAAAAUUGAUUCUGUGUUGGAAAUCGUUUGCUCUAUAAGUGUUUUAUUUCAAUUAGAACAAGAAAAAACGAAAAACCAGCAGCCAGCAACCUACAAACCACACGGAAGUGAAAAACCGGAAUCUUUAAAAUGUGAUAUUUAUGCUUUCUUUUACUGUUUUGUCACCACCGCAAAAAAAAGAAAUGAUACAAAAAGGAAACAAAUAGGGAAACAAAACACGCAGAUAGAAAAUUUUCUUUACAAAAGAAGAACAAAAAAGUAUUCAUAAAUUAAUUGUUAAACCAAUUAGUGAAAUCGAAACAAUUAGAAAAAAGGAUACAAAAAAAACCGAACAAAACAACAACAACAAAAAAACCCAUUGCAGGUUGAGAUUUGUUUAACGUAUUACAAAACAAUACAAAAAAUCAAUCAAUAAUUAGCAAAACGAAAAGAAAACAAAAGUUAGCCAAAAAAGGAGAAUACAAAACUUUUGAAAAGAAUAAAUCAUUCUUUGUUUGACUGUGAUGCAAACGCGGGUGCCCAACGAGACGGGUGCCCAAAGUUGCCCAAAGAAAGUUAGGGAAAAGGAAAAAAACAUUGUUCCAAACAAUCAACACAACAGCCUUAGUUGUAAUAGGAAAAAAAACAGGCACGCGAAACGUUUGACAUUGUUAUAUUUAUUAUAAAACAGGAAGACGGAAAUGGAACGGAACAAAAAAAAAGAGUACCAAUCAACCUGCAAUGUCUGUCAAAAGUAAGGAGAAGAAAACAGGAAGAAAACCUCUCUCUCUCUCUCUCUCUCAGUACAGGAAUCGUCACGAAGUCCUAUUGUUGAUAUUUAAGCCAAUUUAUUUUAAACUGUUGAACCGCUACCAAUUUAGUGCAUAUUGCAUGAACAGGAACACACACAAAAACAAGAAAAUGGUACUGUUUGUUAAGCUUUGUUAAAUUAAUCGUUUGAAGGCAACAAUGCAAUAUGCUGGCGAUAGGAUGGAGAUAACCAAAACAAGUUUAAUUGAGACAAAAGAAAAACUCAUGCAAAAUGGGAACAGUUUCAGCUAUAAAUCUUCUAGAUAAAUUUAAACAUAAAAGAAAAACAAAACAAAGGUAAAGAAAGCACAAACUCGUACGAAAACACAUAAACACAGGGACACAAAACAGAUAAAAGCAAAGAAGAAAAAACACACCGUUUUACGGACACUUUGGUGUACUGUUUCGAAACACGAACCAAAACAAGCAUGGCGAUAAGUUUCUGUGUGUGAUUAAAUCUGUAACCCAACCACACAAUCAGACAUGGUGAAUUCUUAUUACUAAGUUCCUCGAAAAAACAAAAACGAAAGGCAAACCCGGCGCUUCUUCCGGCGUUUUUUUUUCUAAUUUCUGCUCGGAAGCGGUGCCGCAGAUCGCGAAAGAAGGCAUCCAGUUUUUGUAACGAUCCUAUUUAGUUUCUUGAUUUUGUUUCUGAUUAACUACACACUACUAUCAUAAAAGCGUCAUAGCAGCGGUCCUGGCACGGUGAGGGAUGAGAUCAUCCGCCAGGAGACACAGAUUUCCUUGAAGCGUAAAACACUGACAGGCGUGCCCAGUAUCCCGCCAACCAACCGCGCUGUAUGAUUGGAGGAUAUUGGACGUUACGUCUGAAUGUGGGGAAAACCAGGAAAUGUGAUACUAAAAAGCUUUCUUUUUAUUUUUCUAUUUCUAGACAGGGUUUUGAAUAAAAAAACAAACAAACAAAAUGCGGGAUUGAACGUGUAGGGAUUUCUGAUUGCGAGCGUUAAAAAAUACACACUCACACAUGUCACGGCAAUACUCGUAGGAAACUAUGGCACGGAGGCAACUAAACCUUGAGGGCGAACCAGCAAAAGCAAGUACUGGAUAUUGAAUUCCUUAGAAUAGAAACCUCUAAACAAAUCUUCGCAGACGCAAAAUAGGGCCAAGAACCAUCGUCAGCGUCUAGCCGUUUCUCACACAAAUCUCAUAUUAUUCGAUCAAUUAUCGUUGGGUUUUCAUUUAAAUACCAUAUCUCAAGAAAAUACCUUCUGGAGCAAUUUUCCGGCUUAAGCGUGUCCGCGUGGAUCGAGUGGAGAAUGGAAUGGACAGUGUUUUUCCAUCGUGUCAGCGUACGGGUAGGCACAACCAAGCCACUAGACUCGUCCCACCCGUCCGGUUAGUCAGCAGAUGGCGUUAGGGAUCGAUGUCCUGCCGGUGCUGGAGCUGCCGCUCCUUUCGCACUCCGCACCUGUGGCAGCUGUAGCGUGGAAAGGGAUAAAAUUUCAUUUUCUAUUCCUUCCCCGGGUAGAUCCGUGGCACGCAAGCAAGCAAUGUUGGCAGUAUUAAGAACACAAAACACGCACACAAAAAAAGCAGGACCACCACAAAAUUCCAAACCAUAUUUACUAAUAUAACAGGAUACAGCAAAAUCUUCAAAUCUCCAAAAAAGGAACAACACAAAGAUGAUUAUUACAAGCGGCGGAACACGGCGAGCGACAGUAGCGAGAUCAAGUGGUGUCUAUCAGAAAUUAAUAAUACACGCAACACGCACCCAUUUUGGGGAAGGAAUUUUCGGUCUAUCGGGAUGUUUAGGCAAAUCGGGAAAAUCGGAUUCGGGAAGGAGUACAGGAAAAUUCUCUUUGAUGCAAAAAGCCAUUUACCAGCCCACCAUCAGUCCAGGCGCGCAAAUCUUCUCGACUCGUAUUGCAUCAGGAUCGGUUUAGGAGCGUUCGCAAUGCGUACACAGUGCGGUUUCGGAAAAUUCAUCUUCUCGUCUCGAGGAAAACGGGAAAAGUCUUGUACGUAAAAUUGGACCGCAAGUUUACGCUUCAUUGAAUAUGAAUAUCUUUUGAGCAGAAAUGGAAAAGUUAGCAUUGAAAAAGAAGUUCAGGCUCCCUUUCGCUUUCGGAUUUAUAAAUUAAUUAUGAUCAGAAAAUGCAAAACACGGGGAUUACAAAUCGGAAUGCAAAACAAACACAACCAGGCAUGUAUGAAAAAACAAAACGUGAAAGCAAAAAGAAAUAAGAAAGAUUCAAAAGAAUUCAAAAAGAAAAAUGCAAAAACGGGAUAAAAAAAUAAUCAAAAGUUAAAUAGAAUUGUCUCUCAAAAACGUAGAACCUAAAAAGCAGUUAACAAUGUUAUCAACAAAAGCUUUGAAAAAUAGUCCACCAAAUUCUAUAAAUUAAACUUGAACCAUAAAAAGCCAUACAAAAAGCUUCAAAAAUUGAAUCCAAACAGAUUAAAAACAACCAACAGUUUUGAACAGAAGAAAACUCAAGAAGAAAAUCAAAAUUACAAACAUUUUAAUGAAACAGGAAAAUAGAACUGGAUUAAAAAGGUAUCGAAAUUCAUAAAGAAUAGAUAAGUAAAAGAAAACAAAUUCUGAAACAAGAAAACAAGAAAUAGAAAAGUAAAAGUAACCACAAAAAUGAUGAUCAAAUAGAAAAAGAUUCCAAACAUUUCUGCAAAAGUUAAAAACGAAACGAUAAAUUCAUCCAAAAAAUAGACUAAAACUAAAAUAGACUAACCUACUAAAACAAUCGAGAAGUAUUGCGCGUUUGAUAGGGCUUCAGGAAAACCAAAUCACAAAACCCAAAAAACACUUUUAAAUAGCAAGAGGAAGCAAUGCCAAAUUCCAAAACACUUAAAGACGUUACAAAUUCUGCAACAAAAUCUUUAAUGCUCAAAAACAGGGCCUCCCCCCUACCCCAAAACCCCGAAACCCGGUGGCGCGAGGAACUCCUUUCGGUAGAAACAAUUUCCGGCAAAGACGUUUCUUCGUAUCUCUAGGCUGUACGUAAAAUCAAGAGGCGUACGUAGGUCACUCAACUCAAACCCAGCGCAAAACCCCAAACCCAGCCCACUUGCUUAUCGUCGUCUUGUUCGCCUGAGCGUGUCUUUGCCUCGUGACGAGUGCACGACCGGGCACGGAAAUGUAAUCAAAUUAUUCCUAAUAGCAAAGCGAAAACGAAAUAUUUUGUUAAUUAACCUCUCAGAAUGACUGACCACGGAGCACCACCUAACCUACUACCAACGAACAACAUUUCGAAGCUUUGCUGAUGACGACAUGUCGUCACACGUGAAGCUCUCUAUCAAAAACAGAAGAAACAGCAGCAACUACAAAAAAACUCUCUCCACCCAAAAAGCAAAAGACAUCAGAAACUUAUGUCCUAGACGGGAGCAGGAUUCCUAGAGGCCAAUCUUCAAACAAAUUUGCCUCCUUUCGGACACAGUUUCGGAACGAUGAGUCGAUGAGUGCAUCAAAACCGGGUUCGCACCGUACCCAUUAAAAAGGGCCCAACUUUCUUCACAGUUCGGUCAUGAUCGGGUCUUGUUUUUUUUUUUCUUGGUGGUAGGUGGUAGCUCCCAGCACCAUACAAAAUUGAAGGAUAGCAUCAACCAGAAGAAGCGCAUGUAAAGCAAUUUAUGUUUUCUUUUGCCUAAGUUACAGGACAACUCUAUCACUCUUUCUCUGUCUCUUUUCGUUCGGUUAAUUUGUGUGAGAAAACGUGUAGGGCACUGAUAGGUCCGUAGAAAGGGGAAAAAAUCGGUAAAAUCUUUAGCAAAACAGGCUCUUUAGUUACAGUGAAAAGGAUAUUGAAAUUGGUUUAUUUUUACACAAGAAAUAAUCUAGCCGAAACAAAACAGGAAAAUUUCAAAAAUCAAGUAAAAACAUGGAAAAAAAACUCAAAAAUUUAAGAAGAAUACAAAAAUAGAAACAAAAGGGAAAAUUAAACUUAAAAAUAACGAAAACAAUAUGAAAAUGGUCAAAAACACAACAAAAACUCAAAAAAGAAACCAAAAGGAAGAAAACCACCGGACAAGAAAACUCAAGAAAUAUGUCUUUCUGGACGCUCAAUUAGGCAGUAUUGUUUACAACCAAAAACAUCACAUGCACAUGCAAAAGAAAGUUGGCAAGAUUUUGCUUAGUUCCAGAUUUCUCGCAACAUUUUCUCGCACGGAAGAUGAUGGAAAAGUUUUUGCACCCAGUACCACCACCAAGAUCACUCCUCUUUGGCCCACGAUAUCUCGGCAUGUCUCGGUCUCCGUCUAUUUACAACUAAUCCUAGUGGAAAAAGUUGGAAGCCAUUGCCCCUAAACCCCAAUACCUCUGGCUACCCGCACUCCGCUCAAGGUAAGCGGUGGCAAUUCCUUUUGAACUAGCAAAUUUGCAUAUCUUAAGUCGUGUACACCGUUCCUGGAACUAGAACUUACCAUUCUGGACAACAUUAUAGCCACUGAACCCCGGUGCAGACCGAAACCUAAUCAUGGCAACUGCCGGUAAGAUGCAUCCCGGGAUGAACUGAAAAGAAAUUCUCUUUCGGCCACCAACAACAACCCCACCCCCGUCCCGAUGUUUUGGAUUUGGAAAGUUUCGUUCCAAAGAUUGACCCAAGCGCUACGGUGCUCCGAUGAUUUAACCCCACAUGGAUGGACACAUCUUACAAAAACAAGAAAACUCCAGAAAGUACACACGUUGGUCACGUCGGCAUCUUUUGAGUUUGAGACGGUGUUGGGGGAGUGUCUGUGCUCGGGAGUCAGGGCUUACUUAAAGUUAUGAAUAUGGCCAUUGAUUACAAUCUGAAUCUCCCCGGCAAGAACAGCCACGUUGGGAGUUGAGAAACAUUUUCGAUAAGUUCGCAAAUAAACGACUUGCACCUACGUACUGCACCGUCAAGGUAAUUUCGGUGAAAAUGCCCCCCAAAAACAGAUUCGACGCUAGCUGUCACGCAAAUAUUGCUCUCUAUUUAUCAGGUCAGGUCUAUUUUUCCCGAAAAAGGUGAAAAGUUUAGCCAACGUGUCAAGUUUCCUCUGCGAGUAGCAUUUAAGUAAUCGAGAACAAAGUUCAGGAGAAAAACCCAAAACCCGCUACAUUCGACGCUAAAUAUAAAGCCUAGUGAAAGAAAUAAGGUUUUCCUAUAGGACUUAAGCAAAAAGGAGCGAUAAACAAACUCAGUUUUGGAAUAAGAAUGAAAAAUUCGGUCCAAAAACAUUUCGAAAACAGGAAAAGGUUAGGCUUUAAACUCCACAAAACAGCACAAACCAGCAACUCCCAAAUCAGCUCGCCAAAGGUAGCAGAAAUCCAGGCACGUCAUUUCCCGCGGCGGACGUAACUGUCACGCCAAUUCUUCGAAGAGGUUUAUUUACUAG